UACAGAGGUCCCAAGCGUUGUUCGGAUUCACUGGGCGUAAAGGGUGCGUAGGCGGUCGGGUAAGUCUGAUGUGAAAUCUCACAGCUUAACUGUGAAAACUGCAUUGGAUACUAUUCGGCUUGAGAGUUGGAGGGGGGACUGGAAUUCUUGGUGUAGCAGUGAAAUGCGUAGAUAUCAAGAGGAACACCAGUGGCGAAGGCGAGUCCCUGGACAACUUCUGACGCUGAUGCACGAAAGCUAGGGGAGCAAACAGG
rnacentral:rRNA from 1 species